ensembl:lncRNA novel transcript
GCUGCCCAGAGAGGUCUUUAAUCCAUGACUCCAAAGCAAGUCCCUGAGUCGCUGCACCCACAACUCACGAUCUCGGGGUCCGGCGUUAGUCUUCAGCACCGGGAUCUCAGACACAACACGUCGCGUGGCUUCAUCCGCCAUCUUGGACCAGGGCGCAAGAGAAACGCGGAAGUGGUGUUGCCUGUAGCUUACCUCAAGGCGCCGUCAUCUUUACUAUGGGAAGAUGAGACGUUGGGUUGCUGUAAGACCUCUUUUGAAUAAGAUCUUUGUUUUCUUGUCACCUAGUUACCCGCUUGUGAGUGCAUCGAGAAGAACAGAAUGUAAACAGAUUACUCCGUCCUAUAUAUGACACCUAUCAUUAAAAUCACCGCAUAAGGCA